rnacentral:lncRNA from 10 species
GGAAGUGGGUGUUAGAAUUUCAACAUACGAAUUUUGGAGUGGAGAACACAAUUUAAUGCAUAACAGCUCUUUUCAUCUCUCAGCAAACUAGGUCUCAGGUCUGAAGUCCACUGCGGUCAGCCUUCCCUGGUGGUGAGCUGCUGUCAGAACCUCCCCACUACUCCUCUGGGUGGCCCCAGUCUUGUGCCUAUUUCCCUCUCGUGGUCAUCAAGUCUCGCCCAGAUGGAGUCUCAGUUUUAUAAGGGGGAGUUUCCCUGCACAAGCUCUCUCUCUUUGUCUGCUGCCAUUCAUGUAAAAUGUGACUUGCUCCUCCUUGCCUUCCGUCAUGAUUGUGAUGCCUCCCAGCCAUGUGGAAAUAAAUGUAACCCAUAUGAAAAAUUUUACCAGCUGCUGAAAGGAACUAGAAGGCUG